CACCCUGGGGUCUAUCCCACCCCUAAAUGACCUUGGCUAGGGUUUGGGUUGCUUUGUUAGGGAAAGAAAAGUGGGGAGGUAAAUCCUGCUGGGAACAGUGUGUGGGGAGCAUCCCCCAGCCCUGCUCCUUCAAGAAGUCCCAUGUCCCACCUGGCUGUGAAAUGUCACCUUUUCUGUAUUCUGGACACUGCACAGAGCCAUUUGUAUGGGUGAUGUAAAAUCCCUGCAGGCAUCCUGGAGUUUGCUGGGAAAAAUUCCAGAGCCCUGCUAGAGAUGCCACGAAGCUCCUGCAUCUUCAGAGAGCAGAAACAAUGAGCUGGGGUUUGUGCUGCUCCAGCAGGAGAGACGACCUGAAGUGUAAAUUAAAGUCACCAACCUCAGAGUGCCGUGGCACACCAAUGGUGGGCACUGCAAGGAGGAGAUGCCACACGCCUGACUGAGCAUCUGACAGACACAGAUGUGGAAGAGAAAGUUUUGGAGUCCCUGACUUCUCAAAGCCUGUCAGAAGAAUCAUUUUUCCCCCAAUUUCAGUCAAUUGCUGCCUGACAAUUGAAAAGCAGGGAUUCAGAGAGCGUUCACCCACGCUGGUGCCUGAUCCCCAGUGCUCUGCAGCCAUUUCCUUGGAAUGAAAAGGAAAAGUACACAUAUGAAGCACCAACUGGAGUUUGUUAAACAUGGAGCAUAUGUGUUAUUUAGAUUUGGAAUGUGGUGAGGUUAUGAAGCUAUUCUUGGGAAAGAAGACAAAUAAAUUGCUGGUACAUCAAAAUAAUUUGUAACAAAUAGAUUCAUGGAAAGCUUGCUGGAAAUGGGGCAUGAGGCACAUGAGAGAGCCCUGAAAUUCAGCUUCCAACUGGAGCUCCUCCAUCCUGCAGUGAUGGAAUUUGAGGAGUGUGAUUAAACACAGGGCUUGCUAAUGGUUGGUAAAGGGUUUUAAUUUAUUUUUGAUGGACUUUGCAGCCUCCUGAGUGUGAGUUGGAAUCAGACUUUCAGUUCUCACCAGCGUUAUUGAGUCUGAACUCAGAAUUGCUCAGUGAGGAGUGAAUUCCAGAUUAUUUAAUAUAAACUCAGAAUUCCACUGAAGUAUUGUGGUCUAGGCUUACCUGUCUGUGUGAUUACCAAAACUGAUGGCAAAACUCAGAAUGCAACGUGAAUUCAAUUUUUAUUGUACAAGAGGGGGGCAAAAAAGAUGCCAAAGGCUGCCCCCAACCCAAAUAUUGUACAGUGCAUAUCAAAUGAGAUCUGAACAUCAGUGAUUACAUUUUUAGUAGGAUGAGUGUUCUGACUGAAAUGCAUCAAUCUGUCACUUGGCCUUUCUGUGACAUUCAGUGCAUUGAAAUUACCAGGCAAAGAUUGCUUUUUGACAUGCUAAAUUAACUGAGUUGGAAAU